ensembl:lncRNA
CAGAGAGAGAGCCAAACGAAGGAUCUACUCGUGGUGCAACCAGAGGAGCCACUGACAUGCUGAGCACAUGCGCUGCUGGCCAUUUCCUGCAGGUGUCUCCUAUGUCACCAGAUUUCUGAGUCCAUGGUAUGAAUGAGGAAGAAAAAGAGGAGGUGGACGAAAGCGGUGGAAGAAAAAUAUGAAACAAAGAAGAAAAAGAAGACGGAUAUAGAAGAUGGAGAAGAAAAAGAAGAAAUGAUGAGACUUGAAAGGAUGAGGAUCGCCAUCAUGUCAGGUCAGCAUCAUGUCAACAUCAUCUGUGCUGUUUGCCCUGCGGAGAGAGAAAAGGAGUGCGGAGGCCAUGGUGGAGGGAUGCCAUCAACACCAGAUUCAUCACUGAAGUCACCUGCAUUAUUCUAUCAACCCCUGAGAGCCUUUAGUUUCUGUACUGACACCAGUUUUCCAUUUUUUCACUCUUUGUUUUUCUGGCAGGUUCACGCCCUUCUGUCUUUUUCUCUGUCUCACUCGCUGUUAUGUUUAUUUGCCUCCGACAUCCCACACUCACACACACUCGCGCACACACACACACACACACACUCGUCUGAUGCUCUGCAGCAGCAUAUGAGCAGGGUAGUUAAACAGGUGCUUAUCUGAAUGAGCCCUGGCUGACCACCUCCCCGUUAGCUGUAAUCUAAUAUAGACGCUAGAUCAUGUGAGCGAGCGUCUGUCUGUUUGUGUGUGUGUGUGUGUGUGUGUUUGUGUGUGUUUGUGAGCAAGGGAGAGCAUGUGCAUGGGAAUGUUUUGUGUGUGUGUGUGUGUGUGUGUGUGUGUGGAAAAGAGAGAAAAUUAGCAUGUGCAUGUUUGGGGUGUGUCUACAUCCUUGUCAAUAUGUGCCCGUGUCUGUGUGUACGUGCGACAGACAGAGAGAGAGUAAAUGAACAUGUGCAUUGGAAUGUUUUGCUUGUAUCUGAGUCCUUGUCAAUAUAUGUGUGUGUGUGUGUGUGUGUGUGUGUGUGUGUGUGUGUGUGUGUGUGUGUGUGUGUGUGUGUGUGUGUGUGUGUGUGUGUGUGUGUGUGUGUGUGUGUGCAUGCCCUCUAAGAAUAACGAGCCUGAGCUUGAGCUGAACUGUUGACCCGGUCAUGACACCAGAGCAUCCUGAGCUUUGCCCUCCCUCUGCCUGACUAAAGCUGCCUUCGGUGGGGAGGGAGAUGCAGAGCUCCUC